rnacentral:rRNA from 1 species
GACGAACGCUGGCGGCGUGCUUAACACAUGCAAGUCGAACGAAGUGGCGAACGGGUGAGUAACGCGUAAUCAACCUGCCCUUCAGAGGGGGACAACAGUUGGAAACGACUGCUAAUACCGCUUACUGAUGGACGGGUUUCCGUUUGAUUAGGUCGUUGGAUGGGUAACGGCCCACCAAGGCGAUGUUCAGUAGGCGGGCUGAAAGGGUGAACGGGCAAAUUGGGACGGAGACACGGCCCAGACUCCUGCGGGAGGCAGCAGUGGGGAAUCUUUCGCAAUGGACGAAAGUCUGAAGGAGCAACGCCGGAGGAGUGGUGGCGGCCUUCGGGUUGUGAAGCUCUGUUAAGCGGGACGCGGUACCAGAAUAGAAAGCCACGGCUAACUACGUGCCAGCCGCCGCGGUAAUAC